rnacentral:rRNA from 1 species
CCUACGGGAGGCAGCAGUGGGGAAUAUUGCACAAUGGGCGCAAGCCUGAUGCAGCAACGCCGCGUGAGGGAUGACGGCCUUCGGGUUGUAAACCUCUUUUAGCAGGGAAGAAGCGAAAGUGACGGUACCUGCAGAAAAAGCGCCGGCUAACUACGUGCCAGCAGCCGCGGUAAUACGUAGGGCGCAAGCGUUAUCCGGAAUUAUUGGGCGUAAAGAGCUCGUAGGCGGUUUGUCGCGUCUGCUGUGAAAUCCCGAGGCUCGACCUCGGGCCUGCAGUGGGUACGGGCAGACUAGAGUGCGGUAGGGGAGAUUGGAAUUCCUGGUGUAGCGGUGGAAUGCGCAGAUAUCAGGAGGAACACCGAUGGCGAAGGCAGAUCUCUGGGCCGUAACUGACGCUGAGGAGCGAAAGGGUGGGGAGCAAACAGGCUUAGAUACCCUGGUAGUCCACCCCGUAAACGUUGGGAACUAGUUGUGGGGUCCAUUCCACGGAUUCCGUGACGCAGCUAACGCAUU